rnacentral:misc_RNA from 1 species
GCAAACUUGGUCAUUUAGAGGAAGUAAAAGUCGUAACAAGGUUUCCGUAGGUGAACCUGCGGAAGGAUCAUUAAAGGGAACGCUGGUCCAACCAGCAUCCUCCAACCCAAUGUGUACCCGCCUUGUUGCCUCGGCGUGCCUGCGUCGUCCGUGGCGCUGCCGGCUCCGGCUGGAUAGCGCACGCCGGAGGAAUUUCAAACUCCAGCUUUAACGAGUGCAGUCUGAGCUUUAAUCAAAUAAGUUAAAACUUUCAACAACGGAUCUCUUGGUUCUGGCAUCGAUGAAGAACGCCAGC